rnacentral:snoRNA from 1 species
GGCUUCCUGGUGCUCAUCACAGGCUAUUCUUACCCUGACUGUAUAGAAAGAGGAGGGAAAGUAAACCUGCCCCAUUACACCUCAGCCCAAGCCCUGUGCCUGGUCUGUAUUGUGCGAAGAGAAAAAA